rnacentral:rRNA from 1 species
UUACGGGAGGCAGCAGUCGAGAAUCAUUCACAAUGGGCGAAAGCCUGAUGGUGUGACGCCGCGUGGAGGAUGAAGGUCUUCGGAUUGUAAACUCCUGUCAUGUGAGAGUAAAGCCGGGCGUUAACUGCGUGCCGGUUUGAGAGUAUCACAAGAGGAAGAGACGGCUAACUCUGUGCCAGCAGCCGCGGUAAUACAGAGGUCUCAAGCGUUGUUCGGAAUCACUGGGCGUAAAGGGUGCGUAGGCUGCACGGUAAGUCAGAGGUGAAAUCCCGGAGCUCAACUUCGGAAUUGCCUCCGAUACUGCCGUGCUUGAGGACUGGAGAGGAGUCUGGAAUUCACAGUGGAGCAGUGAAAUGCGUAGAUAUUGUGAGGAACACUAGUGGCGAAGGCGAGACUCUGGACAGUUCCUGACGCUGAGGCACGAAGGCCAGGGGAGCAAACGGGAUUAGAUACCCCGGU